UACGGAGGGUGCAAGCGUUGUUCGGAAUUAUUGGGCGUAAAGAGCGUGUAGGCGGCCUUGUAAGUCAGAUGUGAAAUACCUUGGCUCAACCAAGGAAGGGCAUUUGAAACUGCUUGGCUUGAGUACGGGAGGGGGAAGCGGAAUUCCCGGUGUAGAGGUGAAAUUCGUAGAUAUCGGGAGGAACACCGGUGGCGAAGGCGGCUUCCUGGACCGAUACUGACGCUGAGACGCGAAAGCGUGGGGAGCAAACAGG
rnacentral:rRNA from 1 species